rnacentral:rRNA from 1 species
UGCAGUCGGACGGGAUUGAGGAGCUUGCUUCUCAUGAGAGUGGCGCACGGGUGCGUAACACGUAUGUAACCUACCUUGUUCAGGGGGAUAGCCUCUCGAAAGAGAGAUUAACACCGCAUAAAAUCAAUUUAUGGCAUCAUAGAAUGAUCAAAUAUUUAUAGGAACAAGAUGGGCAUGCGGAACAUUAGCUAGUUGGUAAGGUAACGGCUUACCAAGGCUACGAUGUUUAGGGGAUCUGAGAGGAUGACCCCCCACACUGGUACUGAGACACGGACCAGACUCCUACGGGAGGCAGCAGUAAGGAAUAUUGGUCAAUGGACGCAAGUCUGAACCAGCCAUGCCGCGUGCAGGAAGACGGCCCUACGGGUUGUAAACUGCUUUUGUACCGGAAUAAACCUUUUCACGUGUGAGAAGCUGAAUAUACGGUAAGAAUAAGGAUCGGCUAACUCCGUGCCAGCAGCCGCGGUAAUACGGAGGAUCCAAGCGUUAUCCGGAUUUAUUGGGUUUAAAGGGUGCGUAGGUGGCCUACUAAGUCAGGGGUGAAAGACGGUAGCUUAACUAUCGCAGUGCCUUUGAUACUGAUGGGCUUGAAUACACUUGAGGUAGGCGGAAUGUGACAAGUAGCGGUGAAAUGCAUAGAUAUGUCACAGAACACCAAUUGCGAAGGCAGCUUACUAAAGUGUUAUUGACACUGAGGCACGAAAGCGUGGGGAUCAAACAGGAUUAGAUACCCUGGUAGUCCACGCCCUAAACGAUGAAUACUCGAUGUUGGCGAUAUACGGUCAGCGUCUAAGCGAAAGCGUUAAGUAUUCCACCUGGGGAGUACGCCCGCAAGGGUGAAACUCAAAGGAAUUGA